rnacentral:rRNA from 1 species
AUUGAACGCUGGCGGCAGGCCUAACACAUGCAAGUCGAGCGGAUGAAGGGAGCUUGCUCCUGGAUUCAGCGGCGGACGGGUGAGUAAUGCCUAGGAAUCUGCCUGGUAGUGGGGGAUAACGUCCGGAAACGGGCGCUAAUACCGCAUACGUCCUGAGGGAGAAAGUGGGGGAUCUUCGGACCUCACGCUAUCAGAUGAGCCUAGGUCGGAUUAGCUAGUUGGUGGGGUAAAGGCCUACCAAGGCGACGAUCCGUAACUGGUCUGAGAGGAUGAUCAGUCACACUGGAACCGAGACACGGUCCAGACUCCUACGGGAGGCAGCAGUGGGGAAUAUUGGACAAUGGGCGAAAGCCUGAUCCAGCCAUGCCGCGUGUGUGAAGAAGGUCUUCGGAUUGUAAAGCACUUUAAGUUGGGAGGAAGGGCAGUAAGUUAAUACCUUGCUGUUUUGACGUUACCUACAGAAUAAGCACCGGCUAACUUCGUG